GGAGUAGUGUCUGAGUGGUUGAAAGUGUCCGUCUCGAAAACGGAUGUGCCAUUGAUAAUGGUACCGGGGGUUCGAAUCCCUCCUACUCCG
rnacentral:tRNA from 1 species